GCCGUUCUCAAAUUCCCAAUUUCUCUUCCUCUCUCUCUCUAUCUCUCGCUCUCGCUCAUAGAAUUCACUCGAUUUGCAUGUCAAGCACAUCUCUUGCAUCAACUUCUCUAGAAAUCAGCUUUUUACAUUGAAAUAGCCCAUCAAUCCAGAGCAAUCCCACCGCCAUUGAUUGGAAGAGAUGUUCUCGGAGCCGCAAGGAUAGGUUCCGUGAAGACUCUUGCUUUUCUAGUACUAGCUAUCGAGUUGUCAUAUAAACAUAGCCUAUGUUUGUCCCCUAGUGGAUGUUUGUUCCUAAAGUAUAUAUGCAAAUUGAAGCUUGAUCAGGAGAAAGAAAAUGCGUACAGAUUGAAACUUUCACAAAAGGGUUUAUGUACUUUGAUUGAGAAGCUGCUAAAGUUUCCAGCUCCAAUGGUGCCCAACCAAGCAAUCAGGUGAAACUUUAGCAAAUCCUUUUCAUUAUUGCCUUAUGAUCCGUUGGAUGUGUGCUCAAGAGGAUGAAGAAGCCAGCCAAACACCCCUUACCAUUGAUGUUGUCACUAUCAGUUUUCCUAUUUGUUGUAUCAAUACAAUUCAUGUUUCUUUAUUAUGCAAUUCUAGUCUCUUGUUGGUCUCAAGAUGGCUGUUAAUGCUCAUUAUCAAAUGAUACUCUGUAGUUGAUAUUGGAAAGUAAUGUUCUGAACAAGUGUGUGUAUUUUUAAAAACUUAUGAGAAAUGUAUAUGUGAUCGUUUCUAUUUGUCAAUUGUACGUAUUGCAUUUAUGAAACUUAUGAGAAUGUAGUUACAAACA